GAUGAACGCUAGCUACAGGCUUAACACAUGCAAGUCGAGGGGAAACGAUAUUGGAAGCUUGCUUCCGAUAGGCGUCGACCGGCGCACGGGUGAGUAACGCGUAUCCAACCUGCCCAUCACUUGGGGAUAACCUUGCGAAAGUAAGACUAAUACCCAAUGACGUCUCUAGAAGACAUCUGAAAGAGAUUAAAGAUUUAUCGGUGAUGGAUGGGGAUGCGUCUGAUUAGCUUGUUGGCGGGGUAACGGCCCACCAAGGCGACGAUCAGUAGGGGUUCUGAGAGGAAGGUCCCCCACAUUGGAACUGAGACACGGUCCAAACUCCUACGGGAGGCAGCAGUGAGGAAUAUUGGUCAAUGGACGAGAGUCUGAACCAGCCAAGUAGCGUGCAGGAUGACGGCCCUAUGGGUUGUAAACUGCUUUUAUAAGGGAAUAAAGUGAGUCUCGUGAGACUUUUUGCAUGUACCUUAUGAAUAAGGACCGGCUAAUUCCGUGCCAGCA
rnacentral:rRNA from 1 species